rnacentral:miRNA from 1 species
CGGCGCGGGCGGCCUCGCUCCCU